CAGAUGUGCAUCCAUAUUUAUUGAAGGUGAAUCCCUGGGAAGCAUGAGUGUUGGAGUGUGUGAGCAAUCUGGCUGGGCCAGCCACUCCAUUCUUGGCUGACCACUGGAGGGAGGAGAUUGGUAAUGUCAGCUCAAUCAGUGGUCUCCUGAUCUGUCAGGUUGGCCUAUGUCUCUGGUGUGAAUACUCCCAAGGUGGAUGAUGUCAAGCUACCAACACAAGGUUGAUGGGCACAGGAUGUCCUAAAGAUGUAGCACUGUGGCCCUUUGGGACUUUGGUCCAGAGUUGGAAUAGCUCACGAUCACACUGUGGAGGCUGUUGAUGUAGCAGUGGCACAGUGCCUGCCUGGCAAGUGCAAGGUCCUGAGUUCGAUCCCUGGUACCAAAAAAAUAAAAUUAUUAUGGGCUCAGUUGGACCCUGUCAUCAGCCUAGGUUGGAGUGUCUCUUUGUCUCCCUGGUGUGACCAUUGAGAAGGAGUUCUCUGUGACAGUGGGGACAGGGAGAUGAGGAAUGGGCUGGCCAUUUGGCAAGAAGUUGUGGGAGCUCUGCAAUCCAGACCAUGCCCGUCUCACCCAGCACCCCAGAAAGCCCUGAAUUUUACCAAGAGCUUUCUUACCUGACAUUUCCAAUUGAGUUUUCACACAACCUGGUAGGGCACAUAGUAUGACUGCAUUUCAUAAAAGAGGAAAUAAGUCUCAGAAGGACCAUAUUAUUAUUAUUUUUUGGGGGGAAUCAUAUUAUUUUUUUCCAAGGUUAAUGACCAGAUGCGGUUGUGUAGCCUCUCAAACCUAGGUCUGAGGCCAGUCCUAAUCCCUUGUCCAGGAUGCCCAGGCAGGAGACUUCCCACCCAUGCAGUCUGUAGAGGAACAUGAUGCCCGUCUGUCUGGACCACCAAGAGAUAGAUUGGGACUCAGGGAAAGUAAACAUGGUGAUGAAGAAGAGCCACUGCAUGAGAGGAAGACAAAGAAGAGGAGGAGGAGGAGGAGAGGAAGAGGAGGAACAGGGAGAAAAAGAGAAAGAGGAGGAGGAGGAAGAAGAGGAAGAAGAGCCACAUAGUAUUGGUAUGAGGUGGCACAGCUGAGAUACUUCCAAGAGGUCACCUAAAAAUUGGAGAGGGAGUAGGAGGCUGACCUUGGAUUCUCACCACCACAGCCUCCUCUUUCCUAGCUACACACGUUGGACCACAUUUCCCAGCUCCCCUUGCAGUUAGAUGUGACCAUGUGGCUGAAUUCUGGCCAAUGGGAUGUGAGCAGAGGUGGUGGGCACUUCCUGACUUGCCACUUUAGAACAUCCCUGGUGCAGUCCUUGCUUGUUUCCUUCACUUGUCAGACUCUGGAGUCCUAAAGGAGGAUGGAGCCACAAGAUGGAAACAGACUGGGUUUAUGAAUAACUGUGUGGAGCAAUCUCCCUAUUGAGCUGUGCUGUAAGCAAGAGAUGAACUUCUGUUGUGUUAAUCCAAUGAGAUUUAGGUGUUUAUGCACAAAGCAGCUAAGGUCCCUAUAACAGACACAGAGAUGUUCUGCCCUUUUGCUGCCAGCGUCUAUGUAGAUGUGGUGCCUCAAGACCUGAGAGCAGUGCUGGCCCGAGGGUGGAAGCGACCAGUAAGGAGGUCUCUAGGAAGUGUUGCUUCCGUGGCAGAAGGGGUAGUAGCCAACUGGACCUGUCCCUGGUAGUUGAACACAUAUGACUCCAUCCCCAGAUGUAACCAGAAAGACUACUCUCCUCUAGGGAUGGUUCUGCAAUCACAGUGGGGCAGAAAUGCAGCUUGUUGGUCUGUACUGUCACUUUGCAUUAAGUGUGUAAUAGAAUAGGGCCUAGCACAUGGUGAAUGCUGAUCUGGGUGGCUUUGAAAUUGCUGUGAGCAGAGAAGACCAGUGAUGCCGAGUUCGUACCUUCUAUUGCUGCCCAUCCUUCUCUUCCAGAUAUGGUGAAGGACGUGCUGUCAAGCUAUUAUGGAAGCUGAGUGCAACCUUACCAGCACCUGGUUUUUCUUAUACAUUAUGUUCCGAUCAGGAAGUCAACAUGGUAUGAUAUUAAUGACUCCAGAGGUAGCUUUUGAGGUAGGCCAUACACUGGCAGAAUACUAAUGUGCAUCGUGUGAUGGCUAGGUCACAGCCAAGGUCUCUUCCCUCCGUAGCCAGAGUUCUUAAAAUUAGGAAAUUAGUAAAAUGAUGAUUUGAAAAGAAAACAAGGGAAAGAAAGAAAGAUGGAAUUUUCUCAAUACCUAGAGAGACAACCACUGUUAAUAUUUUAGUUUAUAUCAUGCCAGUCUUUUUUCUUAUGUGUGCACACAUUACAUAUCUAGAAUAAUCCAC
ensembl:lincRNA